rnacentral:rRNA from 1 species
GAUUAAGUUAUUAAGGGCGCACGGUGGAUGCCUUGGCACUAGAAGCCGAUGAAGGACGUUACUAACGACGAUAUGCUUUGGGGAGCUGUAAGUAAGCUUUGAUCCAGAGAUUUCCGAAUGGGGAAACCCAGCAUGAGUUAUGUCAUGUUAUCGAUAUGUGAAUACAUAGCAUAUCAGAAGGCACACCCGGAGAACUGAAACAUCUUAGUACCCGGAGGAAGAGAAAGAAAAUUCGAUUCCCUUAGUAGCGGCGAGCGAAACGGGAAGAGCCCAAACCAACAAGCUUGCUUGUUGGGGUUGUAGGACACUCUAUACGGAGUUACAAAGGACGACAUUAGACGAAUCAUCUGGAAAGAUGAAUCAAAGAAGGUAAUAAUCCUGUAGUCGAAAAUGUUUUCKCUCUUGAGUGGAUCCUGAGUACGACGGAGCACGUGAAAUUCCGUCGGAAUCUGGGAGGACCAUCUCCUAAGGCUAAAUACUCUCUAGUGACCGAUAGUGAACCAGUACCGUGAGGGAAAGGUGAAAAGCACCCCGGAAGGGGAGUGAAAUAGAACCUGAAACCGUGUGCUUACAAGUAGUCAGAGCCCGUUAAUGGGUGAUGGCGUGCCUUUUGUAGAAUGAACCGGCGAGUUACGAUUUGAUGCAAGGUUAAGCAGUAAAUGUGGAGCCGUAGCGAAAGCGAGUCUGAAUAGGGCGUUUAGUAUUUGGUCGUAGACCCGAAACCAGGUGAUCUACCCUUGGUCAGGUUGAAGUUCAGGUAACACUGAAUGGAGGACCGAACCGACUUACGUUGAAAAGUGAGCGGAUGAACUGAGGGUAGCGGAGAAAUUCCAAUCGAACCUGGAGAUAGCUGGUUCUCUCCGAAAUAGCUUUAGGGCUAGCCUCAAGUGAUGAUUAUUGGAGGUAGAGCACUGUUUGGACGAGGGGCCCCUCUCGGGUUACCGAAUUCAGACAAACUCCGAAUGCCAAUUAAUUUAACUUGGGAGUCAGAACAUGGGUGAUAAGGUCCGUGUUCGAAAGGGAAACAGCCCAGACCACCAGCUAAGGUCCCAAAAUAUAUGUUAAGUGGAAAAGGAUGUGGCGUUGCCCAGACAACUAGGAUGUUGGCUUAGAAGCAGCCAUCAUUUAAAGAGUGCGUAAUAGCUCACUAGUCGAGUGACACUGCGCCGAAAAUGUACCGGGGCUAAACAUAUUACCGAAGCUGUGGAUUGUCCUUUGGACAAUGGUAGGAGAGCGUUCUAAGGGCGUUGAAGCAUGAUCGUAAGGACAUGUGGAGCGCUUAGAAGUGAGAAUGCCGGUGUGAGUAGCGAAAGACGGGUGAGAAUCCCGUCCACCGAUUGACUAAGGUUUCCAGAGGAAGGCUCGUCCGCUCUGGGUUAGUCGGGUCCUAAGCUGAGGCCGACAGGCGUAGGCGAUGGAUAACAGGUUGAUAUUCCUGUACCACCUAUAAUCGUUUUAAUCGAUGGGGGGACGCAGUAGGAUAGGCGAAGCGUGCGAUUGGAUUGCACGUCUAAGCAGUAAGGCUGAGUAUUAGGCAAAUCCGGUACUCGUUAAGGCUGAGCUGUGAUGGGGAGAAGACAUUGUGUCUUCGAGUCGUUGAUUUCACACUGCCGAGAAAAGCCUCUAGAUAGAAAAUAGGUGCCCGUACCGCAAACCGACACAGGUAGUCAAGAUGAGAAUUCUAAGGUGAGCGAGCGAACUCUCGUUAAGGAACUCGGCAAAAUGACCCCGUAACUUCGGGAGAAGGGGUGCUCUUUAGGGUUAACGCCCAGAAGAGCCGCAGUGAAUAGGCCCAAGCGACUGUUUAUCAAAAACACAGGUCUCUGCUAAACCGUAAGGUGAUGUAUAGGGGCUGACGCCUGCCCGGUGCUGGAAGGUUAAGAGGAGUGGUUAGCUUCUGCGAAGCUACGAAUCGAAGCCCCAGUAAACGGCGGCCGUAACUAUAACGGUCCUAAGGUAGCGAAAUUCCUUGUCGGGUAAGUUCCGACCCGCACGAAAGGCGUAACGAUUUGGGCACUGUCUCAACGAGAGACUCGGUGAAAUCAUAGUACCUGUGAAGAUGCAGGUUACCCGCGACAGGACGGAAAGACCCCGUGGAGCUUUACUGUAGCCUGAUAUUGAAAUUCGGCACAGCUUGUACAGGAUAGGUAGGAGCCUUUGAAACGUGAGCGCUAGCUUACGUGGAGGCGCUGGUGGGAUACUACCCUAGCUGUGUUGGCUUUCUAACCCGCACCACUUAUCGUGGUGGGAGACAGUGUCAGGCGGGCAGUUUGACUGGGGCGGUCGCCUCCUAAAAGGUAACGGAGGCGCUCAAAGGUUCCCUCAGAAUGGUUGGAAAUCAUUCAUAGAGUGUAAAGGCAUAAGGGAGCUUGACUGCGAGACCUACAAGUCGAGCAGGGUCGAAAGACGGACUUAGUGAUCCGGUGGUUCCGCAUGGAAGGGCCAUCGCUCAACGGAUAAAAGCUACCCCGGGGAUAACAGGCUUAUCUCCCCCAAGAGUUCACAUCGACGGGGAGGUUUGGCACCUCGAUGUCGGCUCAUCGCAUCCUGGGGCUGUAGUCGGUCCCAAGGGUUGGGCUGUUCGCCCAUUAAAGCGGUACGCGAGCUGGGUUCAGAACGUCGUGAGACAGUUCGGUCCCUAUCCGUCGUGGGCGUAGGAAAUUUGAGAGGAGCUGUCCUUAGUACGAGAGGACCGGGAUGGACAUACCUCUGGUGUACCAGUUGUCGUGCCAACGGCAUAGCUGGGUAGCUAUGUGUGGACGGGAUAAGUGCUGAAAGCAUCUAAGCAUGAAGCCCCCCUCAAGAUGAGAUUUCCCAACUUCGGUUAUAAGAUCCCUCAAAGAUGAUGAGGUUAAUAGGUUCGAGGUGGAAGCAUGGUGACAUGUGGAGCUGACGAAUACUAAUCGAUCGAAGACUUAAUCAA